GCCAGUGAAACGAACGAUAGAAAAAAAGAAGCAUUCAACUAUUUACCGUUUAACUCCUGUCCCAAUCUAAGUGUGGGUUCAAAAAGAAGGGACCGCGCUGGAAACAUGAGUGGAUUAAAAGGAUCAGCCUUUUUUGAAUUAAUAGUCGAAGUGGUAACCAGCUAGAAGUCGUAACCUGCUCGUAUGAAAGGAUUUCUCGACGUGAAGUUGUUAAUUUUAUUCAACAACGCCAAGAAACAGAGGUCGCUCAAGAAA